rnacentral:misc_RNA from 1 species
ACACCUCAACUCUCAUGGUUCGCCAUGAUGAGCUUGGACUCUGGGGGUUUUGCUGGCCCGCGGUCGGCUCCCCUCAAAUGAAUCAGCCUCCCAGUGUUUGGUGGCAUCACGGGUGUGAUAAAUAUCUACGCUCGCGGUUGUCUGCCAGGUAACCUUUGGUUACAAAGGUUUGCUGGAGCUCACAGAUGUCUCUCCUCGGUGAGGACAGCUUUUUUGAAC